rnacentral:rRNA from 1 species
UCCAGACUCCUACGGGAGGCAGCAGUGGGGGAUAUUGCACAAUGGGGGAAACCCUGAUGCAGCGACGCCGCGUGAGUGAAGAAGUAUUUCGGUAUGUAAAGCUCUCUCAGCAGGGAAGAAAAAAGACGGUACCUGACUAAGAAGCCCCGGCUAACUACGUGCCAGCAGCCGCGGUAAUACGUAGGGGGCAAGCGUUAUCCGGAUUUACUGGGUGUAAAGGGAGCGUAGACGGCAAUACAAGUCGGAAGUGAAAUACCCGGGCUCAACCUGGGAACUGCUUUGGAAACUGAAUGGCUGGAGUGCUGGAGAGGUAAGCGGAAUUCCUAGUGUAGCGGUGAAAUGCGUAGAUAUUAGGAGGAACACCAGUGGCGAAGGCGGCUUACUGGACAGUAACUGACGUUGAGGCUCGAAAGCGUGGGGAGCAAACAGGAUUAGAUACCCUUGUA